UACGGAGGGUGCAAGCAUUGAUCGGAAUUACUGGGCGUAAAGGGCGCGUAGGUGGCAGAGAAAGUCAGAUGUGAAAUCCCGGGGCUCAACCCCGGAACAGCAUUUGAAACUACAUUUCUAGAGGGUAGGCGGAGAAAACGGAAUUCCACAAGUAGCGGUGAAAUGCGUAGAUAUGUGGAAGAACACCAGUGGCGAAGGCGGUUUUCUAGCUUAUACCUGACGCUGAGGCGCGAAAGCAAGGGGAGCAAACAGG
rnacentral:rRNA from 1 species